rnacentral:misc_RNA from 1 species
UAUCGGACAACGCAUCCGGCACAUCCUUAACUUUGACGACGGGCAGCGUUGAAAUGCAAUCGGUGCCGAACAGCGCUUCCGCCUGAUCGCUUGUCCGGAUGACGCGAUCAGACAAAUCCAUCAUGAUGCCNNNNNNNNNGAAUAACGAGGAUGGUUUUCGGGCUGCUUCUUUUUAACGGUUUACUGGCCGUCGAAAUGACGCGCGCUUCCGUGAUAGGGAACGACUGCUGCUGAAUCGAUUCC